ACAAACUUGGUCAUUUAGAGGAAGUAAAAGUCGUAACAAGGUUUCCGUAGGUGAACCUGCGGAAGGAUCAUUAAAAAGAGAAUGAAUUGGGCUUUUAGUCCCUUUCAAACCCUUCAAAACUUUGAUAAUUAAUACCUCUUGUUGCUUUGGUGGUGCCUAUGAGUAACAUCAUAGAUCGGGAAGAACGCCCUGAUCAGUGCCUACCAAAAGCCUAAAUUUAAACCUUAUUAUUUUGAUUCAAGUCUGAUAAAACAAAAAAAUCAAUUAAAACUUUCAACAAUGGAUCUCUUGGUUCUGGCAUCGAUGAAGAACGCAGC
rnacentral:misc_RNA from 1 species